CCACCCCCACCGCUGACCCACUGGCCGUGUGCUGUUCCCAGCUGGCACACCAGGCAGGAGUAAGUCGGUGUCAUCGAUGGACAGCCAGCCCACAGAGGAUCGGCAGGGCCCCUCGGGCGUCUUCCCAGCUCAGACAGCAGGGGGCGACGUCAAGAGGAAGCGCUGUGAUGACAAAGAGCCCCCCACAGCACACUAUGACAGUGAAGGGGACAAGAGUGAGGACAACCUGGAGGUGGACGUGUCCAAUGAGGUGGCGUCAUCGUUCUCUCCGCCCCGGUUCGCUUGUUUCCCACCCGCAGUGAGCACCCCCUGCCUUCACGCGCUUCGCUCGACGCGUCUGGCCGGAGGACCUGGGCGUCCGUCCUCACAGUCCCUUGCGGCCGAUAUCCAUCAUGACACUAGAUGGUGCUGUUGUAACCUUAGAAACUCUUAUCGCGCUCGGCGCCGUCAAUCUGAGCUCGGCUGUGACAGCUGUGAUCCUGCUUCGUGGGAAAUCCGAGUCGCUCUCCGCAGAUUCCCUAACCCAGCCCGAAACGCAUGAUUAUUCCUGUAAGGGUCGCAGUGAAGGUUUUUCUGAUGUGGUAGCCGCACAGGUUAGAAUGCGACUUUAAAUCCCGAUCCGCCGUCACCUACGGAAACAGGCCGAGAGCCAGGCCUCCUUCCCGCUGUGAGUAACUGUACCCCGCGGCGUCGCCGUUCUCCGUAAGCAGGUUCGGCUGACACCCGCUGUCCCUCGCGUCUAGGAGCCCGCAUCCCCGGCUGGCGGACCCCGCCCCGCCUGCUCCCCCCGGAGCAAUGGGCCUGACCGGGAGCUGACCCUCCGGAAGGAGCCACGCGGGAGCCCCACCUCCCCGGGCCGCACCUCCCCGCCACCUCACAGCCCCCCGACUCCCAGUAAGGCCAGGGAUUCCCAGAUGGAGAAAUCAGCUUCCCCCUCCUCCAACUCGGGGACUCCUUCCCCCUCGCACCCGGACGCUCUCACCCCAGGCCCCAGCUCGUCCUGCCUGCGUUUGGCCAGCAAGUCGUCCUUGUCCGACCCCUUGGGUGAGGCUGAUCCCCCCCC